CCUACGGGAGGCAGCAGUGGGGAAUAUUGCACAAUGGGGGAAACCCUGAUGCAGCGACGCCGCGUGAGUGAAGAAGUAAUUCGUUAUGUAAAGCUCUAUCAGCAGGGAAGAAAUACUGACCUUACUGUCAGCAGACGGUACCUGUGUAGGACGCCCCGGCUAACUACUUGCCAGCAGCCGCGGGAAUACGUAGGGGGCAAGCGUUAUCCGGAUUUACUGGGUGUAAAGGGGGCUUAGCCGGUUCGCCUAGUAUGGAGUGAAAUGACGCAGCUUAACUGCGGAACUGCUUGGGAAACUGGCGAACUAGAGUGCGAGAGAGGUAAGCGGAAUGCCUAGUGUAGCGGUGAAAUGCGUAGAUAUUAGGAAGAACACCGGUGGCGAAGGCGGCAUACUGGACCGUAACUGACGUUGAGGCUCGAAAGCGUGGGGAGCAAACAGGAUUAGAUACCCGAGUAGUC
rnacentral:rRNA from 1 species